rnacentral:tRNA from 1 species
GCCCGCCUAGCUCAACGGUUAGAGCCGCGCUCUCAUAAAGCGAUGACGCAGGUUCGACUCCUGCGGCGGGCA